rnacentral:lncRNA from 1 species
CUCGCUUCCCGGCACGAGUCCCCGCCGCUCCGGCAGAGCGCUGCUGCCCUGCGCGCCCGGGCCCACAGAGGGCGCCCCGGCGGCGGCGGGCGCGCUCAGGGCGGCACCGUAACCGAGCGCUCCGGGGCGGCACGGCGGUACUAUAACCGAGCGUUCCGGGGCAGCACCGUAACGGAGCGCUCGGGGGCGGCACGGCGGCACCGUAACGGAGCGCUCGGGGGCGGCACGGCGGUACCAUAACCGAGCGUUCCGGGGCAGCACGGCGGCUCCGCGACCGAGAGCUCGGGGCGGCGCCGGGCCCGGGCCGCCAGGCUGCCCCGGGGCUCGGAGGCUGCACGCCUCGUUCCCAACGCCCCGUCUGCUCCGCAGCUGGCCCAGAGCCGUGUUUGCUCCUUGACGGAGUAUGGAGGAACGCGAUAUUGCCUGCCUGUCUGAUCAAACACGGGGCUUAGUCGUGACUUGGGUUUUAGGGCGGCCUGGGGCUGCUUUUCCAGCUCCCCUGUGUCCCGGUCGGGCGGGAAGCAGCCCCGGUAUGACGGCGGAAGGCGCCCCGGCGGCACCGCCCCGCGUGGGCAUGGCGGCUGGGGCUCGGCGGCGGCAGCUCCCGGCCUGGAUGGGGGCGGCGGGGGACGGGCGGGCGGCGGCGGCCCCGGCCCCCAGCGCCGGGCGGCGGCGGGCGGCGGCGGGGCGCAGGCCGGCGGCGCUGUACUGCAUGAACGAGGCGGAGCUGCUGGAGGUGGCCCUGGCGGUCCUGGCCGAGGUGAGCCGGGACCUCCGGGGAUGGGGGCGGCAGGGCUCCGGAGGCCGGGCAGGGAGCGCUGCUGCCCGCGGCUCCCUGGCGGCCCUCUCCGGGCGGGCCGGAGGGCGCUGCCGGUGCCGCAUGGCUUUCCCGGCCUCUCCUCUCUGUCCCAGCGGCGCUGCUGCCUUUGCAAAGCACAACCGCGGGCCUGGGGCCUGGCGAGGCGCGGCUCACGGGCAUGGUGGGCUGCCCUCCUGCUCCUUGGGUGCUCCCGGCGUGAAGUCAUGCACGGCCGGCCCUUGUUGUUUUCCCUCUGGUCAGAAUCUACAGAGCGAGGAAGGUGAGGAGAAGGCCCGGUCCGGGAGCGAGGAGGAGCAGGAGAUCCCGCCAACACCAAGCGAGGCCAGCACGGAUGGAGGCAGCGACCGCGGUCCGGCACUUCCAUCCCCUCCUGCUGCUGGUGCUGAAGCAGAGGGGACAGGCGCGAAGAACUCUGAGGACGAUGUCCUGAAAUACGUCAGGGAGAUCUUUUUCAGCUAA